rnacentral:lncRNA from 1 species
UACUAAAAAUCUUGACACUGCAGAGUCAGGUGGAGUAUCUACAGAACCAACUGUCCAAUCUCGAGAUAACACACGAUUCCACACAAACUCGUAAGCCAUUCAAACUAACUUUUAGUGCCAUAACACGAAAGAAAAGCCACCCAAGUUGAAAAUACCAAAUGAAAAAGAGUUUCAGUUGCUUCUAGCUUGAAACAGAAUUUGAAAAAAGAAGGUUGACUGGUGUGUUAACACACAAAUAACAAACUGUUUUUAUUAUUGUUGUUAUUACUUUUGAUGGUUCAUUUUGGGAUCUCUAAACGUCUUUUGUGACAGAACUUCAAAAUGAGCUAGCAGCCAAGGAGAACGAGCUGAAGCGUUACAUCCAUGAAGUGAUGGAGAAAAACCAGACAAAUGGAAAACUUAUUUUGAGCAUCACUGAACUCCAAAUGAAACUCAAAAAAAUUGAAAAACAAAAGGAAACAGAGGAUAAUACAAGUGCUGCAACAAUAUCCAGUGAGUUUCCCUCAUCCUCUUUUCCUCUAUCAAAACCCACCAAGCAACUGCUGCCCUGCAUGCAAAAACUCCCACAUUUCCUAUUUAAAACAAAUAAUACCUAACAGAUAUUGUUUCUUAAAGUAUUUGUGUGUCUGCUUGUGCACUAGAUGUCCUGGAAAGAAUCCUAAAGCAACUUUACUUUUAUUUACAGAGCUGACGAACCAGCUGAAGUUCCAAGAAGAGGAAAACAAUCGUAAUAAAGCUUUCAUUAUGACUCUGCAGAACAAGAUAACCCAGACAGAAACCCAAUGUUCUAAAUAUGAACAGAAAAUUAAAGAUCUGCAGAGUGACAUAAAUACCAAACUUAAGGAACUUAAAAGCAAAUCGGACACCAUUAGUUCACUUGUUCUUCAAAUUUCUACAUUAAAUGUGGAAGUGGAACAGCUGGGAAAGCAACUUCAGAACUCUGUGUCCAAAUCUAAAGUGGAAGGUGAGAAGAUUUAA